rnacentral:rRNA from 1 species
AUUGAACGCUGGCGGCAGGCCUAACACAUGCAAGUCGAACGAGUGGCGGACGGGUGAGUAAUGUCUGGGAAACUGCCUGAUGGAGGGGGAUAACUACUGGAAACGGUAGCUAAUACCGCAUCCCAUCGGAUGUGCCCAGAUGGGGUUAGCUAGUAGGUGGGGUAACGGCUCACCUAGGCGACGAUCCCUAGCUGGUCUGAGAGGAUGACCAGCCCAACUGGAAAUGAGACAAGGUGCAGACUCCUACGGGGGGCAGCAGUGGGGAAUAAUGCACAAUGGGGGCAAACCUGAUGCAGCCAUGGCGUGUGUAUGGAGAAGGCCUUCGGGUUGUAAAGUACUUUAAGCGGGGAGGCGUUACCCGCAGAAGAAGCAACGGCCAACUCCGUGCCAGGAGCCGCGGUAAUUC